rnacentral:rRNA from 1 species
AGAACGAACGCUGGCGGCAUGCCUAAUACAUGCAAGUCGAACGAACACUUCGGUGUUAGUGGCGCACGGGUGCGUAACGCGUGGGAAUCUGCCCUUGGGUUCGGAAUAACAGUUGGAAACGACUGCUAAUACCGGAUGAUAUCGAAAGAUCAAAGAUUUAUCGCCCAGGGACGAGCCCGCGUAGGAUUAGCUAGUUGGUGAGGUAAAGGCUCACCAAGGCGACGAUCCUUAGCUGGUCUGAGAGGAUGAUCAGCCACACUGGGACUGAGACACGGCCCAGACUCCGUACGGGAGCAGCAGUA